rnacentral:rRNA from 1 species
UACGGGGGGAGCAAGCGUUGUUCGGAUUUACUGGGCGUAAAGGGCGCGUAGGCGGCCACCGCAAGUCGACUGUGAAAUCUCCGGGCUUAACCCGGAAAGGUCAGCCGAUACUGCGGGGCUAGAGUGCAGAAGGGGCAACUGGAAUUCUCGGUGUAGCGGUGAGAUGCGUAGAUAUCGAGAGGAACACCUGCGGCGAAGGCGGGUUGCUGGGCUGACACUGACGCUGAUGCGCGAAAGCUAGGGGAGCGAACGGG